GUAUGUUUUCUUUAUGUACUGCGAAGUAGUCACACACAUCCAGAAGCCUCAACAACAAACAACACAAAACAUGAAGCAAAGGUCUGCACACUCUUCCAAACUCUCUGGGCACUUAAUAUUUACCAGAUCCAAAUGUGAAAAAGAUAAAGUCAAAACAAAGAAACCACAUAAAACACCUAACAUGAAAGGCACAUAAUAGGGCAAGUAUUAAACUCUUCUAAAUAAGUCAGAUCCACAUAGAUCAAAAGAAAUGUAUAUCUGACUGGAAGCCGUAAUAUAUUUAAUAUAGCUAGGUCCAGAUAUCACUAGAUAGUGUGCUUUUCACAGCCUGUGAGGCGGUUAUGUAUUUUAUAUGGUUUCUUGACUUUACUGUAUUUCUGUAUUUCAAGUGUUCUUACCACUGGAUAGAGUUAGGUGGAUUUCUAUUUUUACUAUUCCGGUGCAGUUUAGAAUCUCAAACCAGUUUAAUUUGAAGUAACCGGUGGAACCAGCUCUUCUGUUUAUUUCUUGUCAUCGUUCAGUGUCACUUUGGAGAGCAUCUGCUGCGUUCAAUGUGACACCUAAAGGUUCGGUUUGGUGUUUGGCUGAAUAUCAAACCAGUUUGAACCGACCCACUCCUACCACUGGAUCAUGUCCUAGUAUGUGACCAGAGUAUUAACAAUGGCAUCUUUAUAUCCGUCUUCUAGUCUAGGGAAGAGCAGUAGCUUGAACUUUCACUUACGGUUGUCCAAUAAAUUCAUCUAAAUUGGGCUACCUUUGUUCCAUGUUCCAUUUAUUUUUUACACAAGUUCAAGUGCAAGUUCAAAUGUACUGUACCCACUUGAAGAUAAUUUUAUGUUUUCUUUUAACAGAAUAGAACGUUUGUGGCGAGAUGUUUGGAUGACUGUUUCCAAUGUGCACUACGAGAUUCUUCACAGCCUUGAGGACGAAGGUGUUCUAGAUCCUUCUGACAGCAUCCAUCUUUUCUGUGCCCAGCAUGUGUUUCUUCCACGUCUGCAGAGGGAUCUCGAUGUCUUCAGGGUGGGGUGGGAUAAUCACCCUCUGAGAACAGAGCAGAAUCUGUCCCCGCAACAACUGUGGAUGAUGGGGCUCCUCCUGAAUCCUGUUGAUGCUCCAGACCUGACAGAGGAAAUUGAGGAUGCAGAUCUUCAUUUCAACACUGCCAGCGAGCAAGACGUGAGCAGUCCUGGAGUGAUUCUUCCGCCCAUUGAAUGUCCUCUCUCUGAGCAGGACAUGACAGGCUUAAGGAACACUAUUGAUGUUACAGGACCAUCAGAUUCCUAUGGGCGAGACAUUUAUUUGGCUGUAUUGAACUACGUGCUAAAUCAUGUACCGUAGAUGCAGGAAUUUUGUUUCAAAAACCAGCUUAACACUAAUGUGUUACACAAAGUGUACAUUGAACUUGUUUUAAAUGUUUAUUGUUACUGACAGCAGUGAAGCUACAUGGUACAAACAUUCUUUAACUGCUUCUCAGAGUGCUGGGCUGCAACUUGUGAGUGAGACAACAUGAUGCCAAUUAGCCAGACAUCUAGAUGAGAUGUAAACUAAUUACUUUUAUGAAAUCUUGUUGCAAGAUUACCUUCUUAACCUUAACAUGUUUGCAUGAAAUGCUCAACAGUACUGCUAUUAAACAAUAAUUUAAUGUUUA